CAAAGAAUAAUUUAACAGAAGAAUGUUGGCCCUGGGAGCCGAAAGUAGGAGUUAAAAUCUCCUUUCUUUGA
rnacentral:tRNA from 1 species